CAAAAAAAAAAAGAGAGAAAGAAAAGAGUGAAGAAGUCAAGGCAACUUCUGGAAGACCCUCGUUUUGUCGUUUUGUUUGCGU
rnacentral:ribozyme from 11 species